GAGGACGAGGAAAUUUUCCAAUCCAUUAACAAGGUUAAGAAUCGGAAAAGCUUGCUCCAAGAGUGUAACUCCUAUAUAAAGGAGUACCUGGAGAGAAACCAACUCCUACGAACUACUCGGGAGUUUGAGCGAGAAUGUUCUGAACUCCAGCUUCCACUCCCCCGGAUUAUCAGUGAAAAUGUUACAAUAGUAAGCGUGAAAACGAUGAAUGAACUAAUCAAUUCUUUUGACUCCUUUGAUGAAGAUGACUUUCUAAAGGUUUGGGAGAAUCCAUCCCUGGUUCCCCAUGAGCGAUCUAGUCAGGUCUUUCUCAAACUAAACUUCAAACUUCAUAUCUACUUUGCGGUCAAGAUGAUUCAACAUGGAGAUAUUUCAGUUCAGGAGGGACAGAGUAAGGUAGGUUCCAGGGAUACAGAGUAAGCUAGGUUCCACGGAUACAGAGUAUGGUGGGUUACCGGAAUACAGAGUAAGGUAGGUUCCAGUAAGCU